rnacentral:lncRNA from 1 species
UAGCUUAUCCCCAGAGCCGGACUUGAUGGAAGGCUCAAGAGGCCUCCGCCUCAGGCCCAGAAUUUUAGGAGGCCCAUUUUUUCACCUUUUUUUAUUAUUUUUUUAUUUUUUAAGACCCACUAUGUCCAUGUGUUCAAAAGAAAAGACCUCCCAACUCCAAGAAAUCAACAGCAAAAUCUACAUGUUCAGUGGUGGUGGUCGGAGCUAAUGUGGUCGCCGUCCUCACCGAUUCACCGCCAAUAACCCGCCUCUCAAUUCACUGCUCCUUUUUGUUUAGAUUAUGUCUAAAAUCUAAAUUUAUUUUUUUUUCUUUCUUUUACUUUCUUGCACAUAAUAUAGUAUUUAAAUUUUUUCCCCCUUUUUUCUUCCCUUUAUUUUGGGAUUUUGGGGUGCAAUUGUUGUUAUAAUGUUAUUGGCUAAUUUCUUCUUGCAGUUUUCAAAAUCUGAUGCUAUGCUCUAUUUUUCAACUUCAUCUAUAAAUUCUUCUUUUUUCACCGGUUUUGAAAAUUUGAAUUUUCUGAAGGCAUUUUUUAUUUUCCUAACUUUUAAUCAAAUAUUCGAAUGUAAUUUGGAGAAAAAAUAAUGGACUAUUUUGACGGCAAAGCUCUACAGCAGAAGAAGAGAAUGUGAAAGGUUUUUAUUUCAUUUCAAAGGAACACCAAAAAAUUUAGUUGUUGUUUUAUUGUUGAUUUAAGUUAACAAAUUUAAUUCCGUAAACUUCUAAUUUUUUAUUUUAUUUUUUUUAAAAAUGCAUUGUUUGCUACGACUUAGGGCCUAGGGUCCAAAUUCCAAAGUUCGCCUCAGAUCCUGCGAAGCACAAGUACGACACUGCUUAUCCCUUCUGGCUCCU